CCUAAAAAACCCAUAAAAUGGGCACUUAAAGACAAAGGCUCUUGAAGCCUUAACCAAAAAACUUCCAUCGUGAAAAACAUAAAGCAGAGGCCACGAAAAAAAAAAACCGAGCACGCAGGCAACGAAAAAUACUAGGGUUCUUCACAACUCACUUAUUCUUGAACUCAGGUAUGUAAAAUCCCUUAUUGUCAAUUACCCUACAGUAGUAAUAGGUAAGAAUUGAAUAGCUAAAUCCCUUCUUCCUCUAUAUCAUCAAUAAAUUUCAUAAUUAGGUGUAGUACUUUAAAAUUGAUCAAAAUACACCGGUUGUUGUAGAAUCGAUUGUUUGACUGGUGUCGACUGGACUGGGGUCUACGUAUUGGCUCAAGGAGUUUUGAGGAACUGGAUUUGCAGGCGAGCAGGUUACGAGUUAGGAUUUCCUUCCCUUCCAGUGAUAUUGAAAUGGCUCGUACUUGCAACUCUGACACCGACACUCCGGAUGCUGCUCAAGAAACUAUUGCUACUAUUGUGGCUCAAGGCAUAACUUAAAAGGCUCGAACUCAGAAAAGGAAGGGUAAAUCCACAAGGGGGGUUCAAGUACCCCAGGUUAAACAUGAAGAAGGGGUGGAGCAUGAUGAGCAAGUACCUCAGGAUCCAACGCCAACCCCAACAGCAGCUCCGACUCAAACAACUAUAUCCCCAGAGGUGGGUCAGAUGUUCAAUGCAGUCAACAGUGCUAUGGAGAUGUUUAAGGCCUUUAUGGCCAACCAGAAUGAGAAAAGAGAUAAGAUUCCACUUCAAACAAAUAGGCAGAAC